rnacentral:rRNA from 1 species
AGCGUAGGUGGAACGGUCAGUCAGAGGUGAAAUCCUGCAGCUCAACUGUAGAACUGCCUUUGAUACUGCCGUUCUUGAAUCGUUGUGAAGUGGUUGGAAUAUGUAGUGUAGCGGUGAAAUGCAUAGAUAUUACAUAGAACACCGAUUGCGAAGGCAGAUCACUAACAACGUAUUGACACUGAUGGACGAAAGCGUGGGGAGCGAACG